AACGAACGCUGGCGGCAGGCCUAACACAUGCAAGUCGAGCGCACCCUUCGGGGUGAGCGGCGGACGGGUGAGUAACGCGCGGGAACGUGCCCUUCUCUGCGGAAUAGCCUCGGGAAACUGAGAGUAAUACCGCAUACGCCCUUUGGGGGAAAGAUUUAUCGGAGAAGGAUCGGCCCGCGUUGGAUUAGGUAGUUGGUGGGGUAAUGGCCCACCAAGCCGACGAUCCAUAGCUGGUUUGAGAGGAUGAUCAGCCACACUGGGACUGAGACACGGCCCAGACUCCUACGGGAGGCAGCAGUGGGGAAUCUUAGACAAUGGGGGCAACCCUGAUCUAGCCAUGCCGCGUGAGUGAUGAAGGCCUUAGGGUUGUAAAGCUCUUUCAGCUGGGAAGAUAAUGACGGUACCAGCAGAAGAAGCCCCGGCUAACUCCGUG
rnacentral:rRNA from 1 species